rnacentral:ncRNA from 1 species
GUUAAUGUGAUGAUAAGGAAGAGUAAAUAGAAAACUGUUACCAGAGAUAAGAAUUCAUUGGCUGAGAGAUUCUUUUGAUAAGUUAUAUUGAAAACCACCUUGGAGCUAAAUGCUGAAAUUAGUAAGCAUAUUCGCUAGCUGGCGUUAUAGUGUGUAUUGAAUAAUGAUUGAUUUAUUAUUUAGGGUGGAAUAACGUUGACUCGUCCCUUUU